AUGAACCCUGAAAUUCAAAAAUCGCAAGGUUUAGUUUUUUUCGAUAUUUUCAAUUGUUCGAAAAACCUACUUUUUCGAACUCGUCCUAGACGGUUAGUCCGAUUUUCACGAAAAUUGGCUCAGAUCAUCUGCAGACGAUGCCGGCAAAAAGUUAUGGAAUUCAAGUUGAUUCGUCCAACCGUUCUCGAAUACCACGCGAAAAAAUUCUACGAAAAGCACUCAAAAAUGCUUGUGAGGCUAUAACUCUGCAACGGUUUGGCGUAUUGAGACAAAACUUGGUGUGUGUUAUAACAAGCAUGACCUGAGACUACCUGCAGUGUUUCGACGCAGCGCCACCUAGUGGUCAGGAGAUAUGAAAAAUGCAUAUUUUUGCUUAUCACUUCUGAAUGGUUUGGUCAAAAAUAACAAAACUGGUCUCUUUAGAUUGGGUGCGUCAUGCCGAGUCGAAUGAUAUCCAAUUUUCACGUGUCGGCCAUUUUAGGUGUCGGCCAUUUUGAAUUAUGUUUCAAAAUGCUGUAUUUUUUGAACGCAUUAUCGUAUCGCUACGAAAAUAAUGACAAAAAUGUUUGGCUCCAUGCCCUGAAGCUAGUCAAAAAGUUUGGUGGCAGCGCCACCUUGUGGUCAAAAGUUAUAAUGAAAUAUCAUAAAAAUGCUAAUAACUUUUGAAUAAAUUUGACUAUUGAAAUGAAAAUGGUCUCCAUAUAUUCUUUUGGUCAUUCCGAGAACAUCUAUACCAAUUAUGCCAAAAUUGGCCAUACUUCCUGUCCGCCAUUUUGUUUAAAGUUGAAAACCUACUUUUUCGAACUCCUCCUAGACCGUUAGUCCGAUUUUCACCAAAUUUGGUUCGGAUCAUCUUCUGACCAACCUGAUAAAAAGUUAUGGAAUUCGUGUUGAUAUACGAAACGGUUUUCGUUUAGCGCAUCAACGAAUUUGUUCGUAAGAUGCCAAAACACAUCUGAGGCUGUAUCUCGGCAAAGCUUUGACAUAUUUGCACGAAACUUUGUAUGUGCCAUUGUCACCUCACCCUGACCACGCCACAUUAAUUUGGUAACAGCGCCACCUAUUGGUCAAGAGUAAUAAACCAUUCAUUAACCAUUAAUAAUUACAUUUAUAAAAAUGCUAAUUACUUUUUAUUGCAUUAGCCUAUUGCAAUGAAACUGGUCUCAAAAUAUUCCUUGGCUUAGGCCGACAACAUAGAUACCAAAUAUGCCAGAGUACGCUGAACUUCCUGUCCGCCAUUUUGAUUUAUGUUGAAAACCUACUUUUUCAAACUCCUCAUCAACCGUUGGUCCGAUUUUCACCAAAAUUGAAUCACAUUAUCUUCAGACUGUGCUGACAAAAUGUUAUGGAUUUUGUAUCGAUAGACAAAACCGUUUUCGCAUACCACAGUGACGAAUUUCAGGCAUGAUGCCAAAAUGACACUUCAGCCUGUAUAUCUGCAAUGCUUUGGCAUACUGACACCAAACUUUGUGUGUGCCAUUGUCACCUCACACAGAACACAACAAAAUGAUUUGAUUACAGCGCCACCUGUUGGUCAAAAGUUAUAAGCCAUUUAAUCAUAAUACUAGUGCUUGUAUUUGUUUUUUCCCGCUAUUUCAAUUACAAUCAUCCUAAAAUUGCUGUAAUUGUGAAAAUCUCUGCAAAGCUUUGACAUAUUUACACCAAACUUUGUAUGUGCCAUUGCCACAUCACACUGACCACGCCACAUAAAUUUGGUAACAGAGCCACUUAUUGGUCUGGAGUAGUAAACCAUUCAUUAAUUCUAAACUAUGUAAUUUUCAAAAAUGCUAAUUACUUUGAUUGCAUUGACCUAUUGUAAUAAAACUGGUUCUCAAAAUAUUCUUUGGGUCAUGCCGACAACAUACAUAUCAAUUAUGUCAUAAUAAGCCGAACUUCCUGUCGGCCAUUUUGAUUUAUGUUGAAAACCUACUUUUUUGCACUCCUCAUCAACCGUUUGUCCGAUUUUCACCAAAAUCUAAUCAAAUCAUCUUCAGACGUUGCUGAAAAAAAGUUAUGGAUUUCGUGUCGAUAGACAAAACUGUUUUCGUACAGCUCUGCUACAAACUUUAGGCACGGUGCCAAAAUGACUCCAAGGCUAUAUCUCUUCAAAGUUUUGACAUAAUGACAACAAACUUAGUGUGUGCCAUUGUGUCAUAUUACUAGUGGUUGUAUUUAUUACUUUUCAGCCAUUUCAAUUACAAUCAUCCUAAAAUUGCUUUUAUUACUCAUUGUUGCACUUGGUGUGAUGCUCCAUUCCAUGCUUAGCUCCUCAAUUUGCCGCUGGAGUGCUUGGCCCCGUAAUUGCUGCUUGCAGCUAUAUUUAUUCUUCUUCUUCUUCUUCUUCUUCUUCCUCCGCAAGUCUAUGGCAGCCCAUAGAACCGAUUGCGGGAUAGUUGUAUAAUUUGGCACACUGAUAGAGGACAGUCCCAGCAUUAACUAUAGCAAAUUUGAAGUCUCUAUCUUCUACUCUCUAGCGCCACCACUUGUCCAAAAUUUCAAUAUUUUUAUGCUAAUAACUUUUGAACCGUAAGCCACAAAAUGAAAAUUCUUUUUUCCUCUGAAUCCUUGGCUCAUGCCAAGUCGAAUGAUCCCCGAAAUUCAAAAAUCGCAAGGUUUAGUUUUUUCGCUAUUUUCAAUUGUUCGAAAAACCUACUUUUUCGAACUCAUCCUAGACGGUUAGUCCGAUUUUCACGAAAAUUGGCUCAGAUCAUCUGCAGACGAUGCCGGCAAAAAAAGUUAUGGAAUUCAAGUUGAUUCGUCCAACCGUUCUCGAAUACCACGCGAAAAAAUUCUACGAAAAGCACUCAAAAAUGCUUGUGAGGCUAUAACUCUGCAACGGUUUGGCGUAUUGAGACAAAACUUGGUGUGUGUUAUAACAAGCAUGACCUGAGACUACCUGCAGUGUUUCGACGCAGCGCCACCUAGUGGUCAGGAGAUAUGAAAAAUGCAUAUUUUUGCUUAUCACUUCUGAAUGGUUUGGUCAAAAAUAACAAAACUGGUCUCUUUAGAUUGGGUGCGUCAUGGCGAGUCGAAUGAUAUCCAAUUUUCACGUGUCGGCCAUUUUAGGUGUCGGCCAUUUUGAAUUAUGUUUCAAAAUGCUGUAUUUUUUGAACGCAUUAUCGUAUCGCUACGAAAAUAAUGACAAAAAUGUUUGGCUCCAUGCCCUGAAGCUAGUCAAAAAGUUUGGUGGCAGCGCCACCUUGUGGUCAAAAGUUAUAAUGAAAUAUCAUAAAAAUGCUAAUAACUUUUGAAAAAAUUAGACUAUUAAAAUGAAAAGUGUCUCGCUAUAUUCUUUCGGUCCUGCCGAGAACAUCGAUACCAAUUAUGCCAAAAUUAGCCAUACUU
ensembl:lncRNA